GAUGAACGCUGGCGGCGUGCCUUACACAUGCAAGUCGAGCGAAAACAUAAGUAGCUUUCCUCUUUGACGUUAGCCGCGGACGUGUUAGUAAGAAACGUGUCCCCUAGCUGUAAGACAGGGAUAACUUCGGUUACUCGGAGCUCAUACCGGCUAACAUAUUGAACCGCAUGGUUCAAUAGUUAACGGCGUCUUUGCUGUCACUUAUAGAUGAAUCCGAUCCGGGUUGGCUAGUUGGUCAGGCAACGGCUUACCAAGGCAACGAUUCGUAACCGAGCUGAGAGGGUGAACCAGCACCCUGGAACUGGGAAACGGGCCAGGCUCCUACGGGAGGCAGCAGUAGGGAAUCUUCGACAAUGGGCGAAAGCCUGACGGAGCAACGCCGCGUGAAGGAUGAAGGUCUUCGGAUCGUAAAACUCUGUUGUAAGGGAAGAAAAAAUGUGGGAGAAAAUGUGCGGAUCAUGACGGUACCGUAUCAGAAAGCCACGGCUAACUACGUG
rnacentral:rRNA from 1 species